rnacentral:lncRNA from 1 species
GAGUCUGACUUCCGGAGGGCCAGCGGCGCGCUGGCUGGUUACCAAGGUUACCACCGAGACGCCUAGUCCUCAGCUGGUCCUAGACAUGCGUGGCGUCGGGGAUGUGGCACGGUCGGGUCCGGGCUUGAAUGCACCAAGGAAAGGCCAUUUGUGGGGACAUAGCGAGAAGGCAGCUGUCUGCAAGCCAGGAGGAGAACCCUCACCAGAAACCUCACAGAAAUCGGCCAGCACCCUCAUCUCGGGCUUCCAGCUUCAGAACAACGAGAAAACAAAUUUCUGUGGUGUCCUGGUUCCCAUUUGUAAUUGGCACCCUAAUGAAACCGUUUUCUGUAGCCCUGGAAAUGGCUGAAAAUGAGGGGAGGGAAAUAAAGUGCUAUAAUUCAGAGCAUGGAGCACACCUUCCUGGUUCACCUGAGUUGGAUUCGGAGAGGUAAAAUGGCCAUUACCUCGUCUAAGCUGCCACUUACAGACACAGUACAGGAUGAGGCCCAGGCCCACAGAGACAACGAUGAUGGCCACAGCUAAGAUGAUCCAGAAAUUAUUCCUCCACCAGCUCAUUGCAGUGGAAUCCUGAGAAGAAUGGAGAGAGAAGAAUGAGGUAUGAAUGAAAGAUAUCCUGGGGUUGGGUGGAGUGGGGCAGUUAUCUACUGUGGGUUGUUUUUUUUUUCUUUUCUGAGUCGGAGUCUCACUCUGUCGCCCAGGCUGGAGUGCAAUGACAUGAUCUCAGCUCUCAGCUCACUGCAACCUCCACCUCCCGGGUUCAGGUGAUUCUCCUGCCUCAGCCUCCAGAGUAACGGGGACUACAGGCACCUGCCACCACGCCUGGCUAAUUUUUGUAUUUUUAGUAGAGAUGGGGUUUCGCCACGUUGGCCAGGCUGGUCUGGAACUCCUGACCUCAGGUGAUUCACCUGUCUUGGCCUCCCAAAGUACUGGGAUUACAGACAUGAGCCACCGUGCCCAGCUAAUCUACUGUGUUGUGUAGAGAUGCAGACAUCUGCUUAGGAAUCAGGCACUGGUUCACAGCCAUACCCUACUGAUUAACACCUGCAUGUCACUCGACCUUCUGUGAGCCUCAUCUAUAAUAUGGGAAUGAUAUCUCCUACUUCACUGAUGUUUGUGAGGACUGGAGAUCAAGCAUGUACCUACUGGGCCCUCUAGAAAUGGUAGAC